UUGGAGGGCAAGUCUGGUGCCAGCAACCGCGGUAAUUCCAGCUCCAAUAGCGUAUAUUAAAGUUGUUGCAGUUAAAAAGCUCGUAGUUGAAUUUCGGGGUUCUACCGUUGGUCGGGCUUUGUCUGUACUGGUGUGUAGAAUUUCUACCUUCUGGGGAACCAUCAUGCUAUUAAUUUAGCGUGGUGGGUAACCAGGACCUUUACCUUGAAAAAAUUAGUGUGUUCAAAGCAGGCUUAUGUCUGAAUACAUUAGCGUGGAAUAAUAGAAUAGGACGGUGGUCCUGUUUUGUUGGUUUCUGAAUCACCGUAAUGAUUAAUAGGGAUAGUUGGGGGCAUUAGUAUUCAAUUGUCAGAGGUGAAAUUCUUGGAUUUAUUGAAGACUAACUUCUGCGAAAGCAUUUGCCAAGGAUGUUUUCAUUAAUCAAGAACGAAAGUUAGGGGAUCGAAGACGAUCAGAUACCGUCGUAGUCUUAACCAUAAACUAUGCCGACUAGGGAUCGGACGAUGUUAAUUUUUCUUGACUCGUUCGGCGCCUUACGGGAAAC
rnacentral:rRNA from 1 species